rnacentral:ncRNA from 2 species
AUGAAAUUUUCGGGAGAUGAUCUAUUAAAAGUAAUUAUUAAUAAUUAUUUUUAUAACAAUGGGUAGCCGAAGAAGCAAAAAUUUAUUUUGCCAAUAAAUUUGAAACUCUCAGGCAAAAGGACCGAAAAUGGACA